rnacentral:rRNA from 1 species
AUUGAACGCUGGCGGCAUGCCUUACACAUGCAAGUCGAACGGCAGCACGGGAGCAAUCCUGGUGGCGAGUGGCGAACGGGUGAGUAAAGUAUCGGAACGUGCCCAGUCGUGGGAGAUAACGUAGCGAAAGUUACGCUAAUACCGCAUACGAUCUAUGGAUGAAAGCGGGGGAUCGCAAGACCUCGCGCGAUUGGAGCGGCCGAUAUCAGAUUAGGUAGUUGGUGGGGUAAAGGCUCACCAAGCCGACGAUCUGUAGCUGGUCUGAGAGGACGACCAGCCACACUGGGACUGAGACACGGCCCAGACUCCUACGGGAGGCAGCAGUGGGGAAUUUUGGACAAUGGGCGAAAGCCUGAUCCAGCCAUGCCGCGUGCAGGAUGAAGGCCUUCGGGUUGUAAACUGCUUUUGUACGGAACGAAAAGGUUUGGCCUAAUAAGCUGAGCUCAUGACGGUACCGUAAGAAUAAGCACCGGCUAACUACGUGCCAGCAGCCGCAGUAAAAC